rnacentral:rRNA from 1 species
CGUAGCCGCGGUAAUACGAAGGGGGCUAGCGUUGUUCGGAUUUACUGGGCGUAAAGCGCACGUAGGCGGAUUCUUAAGUCAGAGGUGAAAUCCCAAGGCUCAACCUUGGAACUGCCUUUGAUACUGGGGAUCUCGAGUCCGGGAGAGGUGAGUGGAACUGCGAGUGUAGAGGUGAAAUUCGUAGAUAUUCGCAAGAACACCAGUGGCGAAGGCGGCUCACUGGCCCGGUACUGACGCUGAGGUGCAAAAGCGUGGGGAGCAAACAGGAUUAGAUACCCCGGUAGUCCCUGUCUCUUAUACC